rnacentral:rRNA from 1 species
GACGAACGCUGGCGGCGUGCUUAACACAUGCAAGUCGAACGGAAAGGCCCUGCUUUUGUGGGGUGCUCGAGUGGCGAACGGGUGAGUAACACGUGAGUAACCUGCCCUUGACUUUGGGAUAACUUCAGGAAACUGGGGCUAAUACCGGAUAGGAGCUCCUGCUGCAUGGUGGGGGUUGGAAAGUUUCGGCGGUUGGGGAUGGACUCGCGGCUUAUCAGCUUGUUGGUGGGGUAGUGGCUUACCAAGGCUUUGACGGGUAGCCGGCCUGAGAGGGUGACCGGCCACAUUGGGACUGAGAUACGGCCCAGACUCCUACGGGAGGAAGCAGUGGGGAAUAUUGCACAAUGGGCGGAAGCCUGAAGCAGCAACGCCGCGUGCGGGAUGACGGCCUGCGGGUUGGAAACCGCUUUCGCCUGUAACGAAGCGUGAGUGACGGUAAUGGGUAAAGAAGCACCGGCUAACUACGUG